AAGAGCAGAGAGGAGGUUUGGGGGUGUCGGGGUGAGUAUAGGUGGGGUGUAAGUCUGGGAGGGGCUCCUCACCCCCCGCCCCAGCAGCCAGGACCUCCGCUCCGACAGCACCACGCCGCCGAGCUGCGUGGCCGCGGCCCUGCCAUCAUUCAGCUCCAGAGUUAACGCUCUCUCCUCUGCCGCCGGCUACCACCCGGAGCUGCCUGCAGGGCAGGGGCUGGCUGCCCCCAGCUCCCCCAGCCCGGGCACCCUGCCCACCCCCUUCCCGCCGCCCGGGCAGCCUCUGCCCUUAAGCACCCCCCCACUGAGACCAUAAUGACUGUGGCCUGGAUCGGCGGGAUAUAUAUAGGUCCCACUUCCUUGGGAAGGGGAUGUGGACCUGGGAAACCCCCGGCUGCUGCUGGGGAGAGGAAGGGCAGGGCUGAGUCAGCUCCCCUCGAGGAAUCCUGUUUGUCAGCAAACACGGCCCCAAAGCCCACAAAGGGCUCCCCGGCCCCAUCCUGCCCCCCCGUGUCCCCAGCGAGCGAUAGGGGCAAGCGAUAGGGGCUCAGCCCCACGCUGCCUGAGCCGCAGACCCCACUCAGGCCCAUCACGGGGCUGCAGACAGCGGCAAAGCCCCCUCCUCGACCCCCCGCGUGCCCCCGGGGAGCCGUCUGUGUGCGGCAGCAGCGGGACGGGGGCUCGGGCAGCUGGAGGGGGGAGAAGGAAAUAGCUCGCGGUGCACUGCCUCGCCAAGCGAAGUGCUCGCAGGAAGCGGCCUCAAGUGUGUUUGCUUUUUAGCAGCUGCUUCGCCUCCUUCCCAUGCAUUUUGGGGUUGGGGGGGGGGGUCCAGCCCCGCACCCUCACUCGCAGCAUAGGGAUGCGGGUGGAACGCCCGGGGCAGCAGGAAGGCCGGAUCCAUCUUGCCGCCCUCCUGCCGUGGCCGUGAACUCCAGUGCGCAUCAACAGGAAAAGGGCAGGGGCAGCGCAGACCCUGACCCCAGCACCGGCCCCAGGCCUUGGCCGCCGCCAGACCUCGCCCUGCAGCCCCCAGCCCCCCCCGGGGGGGGGCUCCCUGCAGAUCUGAGCCUCGCUCCUUGGACCGGUCCCAGGUCAGUGCUGGGGCAGCUGGAGCACCCCGGGGCCGGGACACUGCCUCCCCCGGCUUUCCUGCAGGGGAAGGGAGCGGGACAGCCCCCAGCUCCCUGCCAAGGGGCAGGGGGCCAGGCAGAGCAGCUGAAAUGCCCCCCCCAGCACAGGCAGAAGUCACAGAUACGCAGCUGCACUGAGCAUGGGGCCAUCCCUGUCCCCAUCCCCACAUCCCUUCUGCUCUGGGAGCCAGGGCCCCCCUUCCACACCCCGCAGAACGUGCCCCCCAUCAGCACAGACAUCCAGGCUGGGACACCCCCAUCCCAAGAUGCAUCCUCCUAUUCUCCACCUCCCCCCCCGCCCCCAUUCAGCGCCCACCAUUGCAAAGUGCUACACAUCUGUGUUUAUUAAUAAUAUUAAAUAUACAAGCCAUUUUCUAUUCUUUUCUUUAAAUAGACUUCUUUAAAUGACUUCAUAUAAAAUAUUUCACUGUAUAAAAAAAAAAAGAAAAAAAAACAGAGGCAAAAUGAGUCCAUCCCGGUCCGACCGCAGGCUGUCUCCCCCCCCCGUGCAAAGUGGUGCCAAGUCAGGGGCUUACACCAGCAGCAGGUCCAGCCCCAGCCUGGGCACCCUGCUGUGGGGCUUCCCUCCUGACUUACACUGGUCUCUCACCCCAGGAAACAUCUCCUUUUGGCCGUCAUAAAUACACAUAGAAAAAUUAAUAGUAAUGCUUUAAAAAGUGUGGUUUGUUCCAAUUUUCUUCUACUGUAUAAAAAUAAUGCUUCAAAUCCAAAGAGCAGCACGGCCACGCUCAGUGCGGGGCCGGGGGAACGCUGCAGCGGGGCAGGAUGGGGCCCAGGGCCGGGGCAGCUGCGGGGCUGGUGCACCCCAAGGUGCUGCCGGUGCGCCCCGAGGCGGUGCCAGGCGGGGGCCGCUCCAGCUCCCACCCCCGUGAAAGCAGCCCCUGCACCGCCGCCUUCCCCUGCUCCAAAGCACAGUUGCAAAAAUCCAGUCUGGGGCGAGGCCAGCUCGCAGCAAUAACCUUGUGGGGAGGCAGGAGCCCCCUUCUCCCC